UUUUGAUUUCCAAGUUUGGAGUUGCCUUCUUUGAAUAUGUUGUUUAACAUGUGCUAUGACCCUUCCUCAGGUUACAAGCAAGAUAUCAUCAAGAACACACAGGAUAAUUGAAUGAAAGAAAAUAAGGUCUGCAGUGUUAAGCUGAAUGCGAAAAUUUUGCAAAUUGCAAAUGAGCAGAAAAGCUCGAAUAAUUACAACAACAAAGUUUCAAAUCUUGGACAAGGGUAUAGAUGAUUAUUACAAGGUGUACGGUAUAAUUUAGGAAGAACAAGAAGGCAAAUUUUCAAGCAAAUAGAUGUGAUAUGCCACAGCAACAGUCCAACGUUCUACUUGACCAUUACAAUUGCAAUCAUCCAAAUUGACAUCUGAGCUUGAGCUUCACCACAGAUGCCUCUUACAGAACUCAGUCACAUAUCGCGAUCCAUUGUAGAAAAUGAACCACAGAAGCACGACAACCAAAGUAUCUGGCAAAGUUCAGAAACUCAAAAGGGUAUAUAUGUAUAGAGAACGCUAACAAAAGAAUCCUUAAAAUCCACAAGAAAAUGUUAAUAAAACUUCCAUUCAAUUAUCAUAUAAAAUUAAACUUCAAAACACAUCGCAUGGAGCACAUAAAUCAAAUCAAAUCAAAUCCAGUGACAAUAAGGAAAAAAGGAUACUGAAAAGGCAACGCUCCCACCAAUCCAACAUGUAGAGACCAAAAGUGACAUUAUACAGAUAGAUCUUGCGCUGAAUCCAGUUCAUAGCUCUCCAACCUGUAUAGAGCUGACUGCAAUCUCAGAGGAAGACGAAGACACAGAGAAAAAUCAAUUCUUUUAAAAUCUCCCUGGCGUUUAUUAUCGGC
rnacentral:misc_RNA from 1 species